rnacentral:rRNA from 1 species
GGAGAGUUUGAUCCUGGCUCAGGAUGAACGCUAGCGGCAGGCUUAACACAUGCAAGUCGAGGGGCAGCAUAAUGGAUAGCAAUAUCUAUGGUGGCGACCGGCGCACGGGUGCGUAACGCGUAUGCAACCUACCUUUAACAGGGGGAUAACACUGAGAAAUUGGUACUAAUACCCCAUAAUAUCAUAGAAGGCAUCUUUUAUGGUUGAAAAUUCCGAUGGUUAGAGAUGGGCAUGCGUUGUAUUAGCUAGUUGGUGGGGUAACGGCUCACCAAGGCGACGAUACAUAGGGGGACUGAGAGGUUAACCCCCCACACUGGUACUGAGACACGGACCAGACUCCUACGGGAGGCAGCAGUGAGGAAUAUUGGUCAAUGGACGCAAGUCUGAACCAGCCAUGCCGCGUGCAGGAAGACGGCUCUAUGAGUUGUAAACUGCUUUUGUACGAGGGUAAACGCUCUUACGUGUAAGAGCCUGAAAGUAUCGUACGAAUAAGGAUCGGCUAACUCCGUGCCAGCAGCCGCGGUAAUACGGAGGAUCCAAGCGUUAUCCGGAUUUAUUGGGUUUAAAGGGUGCGUAGGCGGUUUGAUAAGUUAGAGGUGAAAUACCGGGGCUCAACUCCGGAACUGCCUCUAAUACUGUUGAACUAGAGAGUAGUUGCGGUAGGCGGAAUGUAUGGUGUAGCGGUGAAAUGCUUAGAGAUCAUACAGAACACCGAUUGCGAAGGCAGCUUACCAAACUAUAUCUGACGUUGAGGCACGAAAGCGUGGGGAGCAAACAGGAUUAGAUACCCUGGUAGUCCACGCAGUAAACGAUGAUAACUCGUUGUCGGCGAUACACAGUCGGUGACUAAGCGAAAGCGAUAAGUUAUCCACCUGGGGAGUACGUUCGCAAGAAUGAAACUCAAAGGAAUUGACGGGGGCCCGCACAAGCGGAGGAACAUGUGGUUUAAUUCGAUGAUACGCGAGGAACCUUACCCGGGCUUGAAAGUUAGCGACGAUUCUUGAAAGAGGAUUUCCCUUCGGGGCGCGAAACUAGGUGCUGCAUGGUUGUCGUCAGCUCGUGCCGUGAGGUGUCGGGUUAAGUCCCAUAACGAGCGCAACCCCUACCGUUAGUUGCCAUCAGGUCAAGCUGGGCACUCUGGCGGGACUGCCGGUGUAAGCCGAGAGGAAGGUGGGGAUGACGUCAAAUCAGCACGGCCCUUACGUCCGGGGCUACACA